rnacentral:rRNA from 1 species
UGUAUAGUGGGGCGUGGGAGAGGGGUAGUGCGGUGGGGGCAAGGGGUAUGCGGAUUUAUUGGGUUUGAAGGGUGCGUAGGCGAGCCUAUAAGUCAGUGGUGGAAUCGCACAGCUUAACUGUGAAACUGCCGUUGAUACUGUAGGUCUUGAGUAAAUUUGAAGUGGCUGGAAUAAGUAGUGUAGCGGUGAAAUGCAUAGAUAUUACUUAGAACUCCAAUUGCGAAGGGAGGUCACUAAGAAUUAACUGUCGCUGAGGGACGAAAGCGUGGGGAGCGAACAGGAUUAGAUACCCGGGUAGUC